AAAGGGGCUACAAGGGAUCCAUGGAAAGAGCAUUCCCAGAAGCGGGGCCAGGGCAGUGCGCACAGUGAGGAGAGCAGGUGUGUGUGAGGUUGAAACAAAACGUUCAAAGCCCCCUCGGAAGCCCAUCCACAGGUGUGUGACUGUGAACCGCAUCGUAAUCUCCUAGAAAGCAAGAACAUCAGGCUUACAUUUUCCACUUGCCUCUCACGGCUCAGAGCUCUGCAGUAUAUACAUUGAGGAAACUGGGCCCUGAGACAUUAACUUGCCCAAAAGAUCACAGUGGGCAACAUUCUAGAGCACAGUGGAAGCCGACAGCAAUGUCAGUGAAGAUGGAAAACAGAACGUGGAGAGAGAUGUAGCUUACUAGAGCCCUGUGGCUUCAAUCCCCACCAGGAAUGUCGUUUAAGAGGAAGAGAAGCAGCCUCGGGGAGCGGGCGGGGCUGGGGAAUCCCUGGCCUCCCUCCUUUCCUUCUGGCUGAUCUUCUGCAGAAGACCUCACAAAAGGGAGCUGAGGGGCCAGGAAGCCUGUGGAUGCCCUGAAGAAGAAUGAGUAGAUCUGAAAGGGCAGUAGAACAGAACCAGAAUCCAGUGCAAAGGCCCUGGGGCAGGAGUUCGCAGGAGAAGCGGGGAGAAGGAACCAGCCUAUGAUCCAGGAAUGCAGUGAACAAGAUUUGGGAAGUUGACAGAGAAUAUGAGGCCUCCUCUCCAAACAGAAACUCCAGGACGCUUGGUUGAGUCACUGACACAUGCACAGUGCUGAGCAUAGUACCAGACACCAGAGUCUGUGUUCCAGAAAUGGAAGAAUAGGUGAGUAAUGAAAGUCUAAGUAAGCAAAUUCUUCGCAAAUGGGGAAAAGAUUGAAUGUAUAGGGCUGCAUAUAUUAGAAGCCCCCUGGAAUCUCUGCAUCCAGAAGAUUGCAGUCACCUUUGAAGCACUCACCACCAGAGUCUACUCGCACACUCUCCUGUGGCAGCCGUUCACCUCGGCCCUUUUCCUAGGGAUUUGCCUUCAAGUCCCAGAAUGGGCCUCAGGGUCUUUGCAUUCGCCUUUCUAUGAGUCUGAAACACCACCCACCCCCUCACCUGUGGGCAGGCAAAGCACCUCCUGUGUUCAUGUCAUCUCCUGUAUCAAGCCCUUCCUGAUGACCAACUUGCAGCCGGGUGCCCUCUAUCCAUGCCUCCAUGGCCGCCUAUGAUAAUGUCCCCCAUAUCAUUUACCAUUCUGCUCAUGAAUUUGGCUUCAUUCAUCUCGCAACAACCCCAGAGUAUUAAGCCACUCGAGGGUGGAAGCUGGUGCUUUUACCUCCGCACCUCUCAUGCCCGACAGAGUCCAUGGCAGAAGGCCGGCUCUCAGAUUUUAGCUGCAUUCCUGAAUGAAGGAAUCAAUAAAAGCCACACAGCAUUAAGUGGCAGACUCUAGUAAUUUAAUUCCUGGUCCUGGGCUCUUUGAUAUAAAAUAACUCUUCUAUUUUUAAUACACCCCACAUUCCUGAAGAUGACACUACUGCAAAAUUAAAGAAAUGUGAUGAACAGCUUACAACCUGCAACACACUCGGCAGCUCAAAAUGACAACAUUAAUUUAAUGAACUUAAACACUGGUGAACUUUUUAACACAUCCAGAGUUAUUUACACUGGGAAAUGCAUACUUAAGACUGCCUGCCAAAGAGACUCAAAUAGAGAUGACACAUAUAUCUUUCACAUGUUAAUUUGCAUUUGAAACUUUGAGCUUUGAUACAGGUUGGCUUUUCUCUUUUGGAAUGAAGAAAUCAAGAGACUAAUUUUUUACCCAUCCAUCCAUCUAUCCAUCUAUCCAUCCAUCCAGCCACAUCUUUCCUAAGUGACAGGACAUAUCACACACCAACCGUGUGCAAAGCACUCUACCUAAAGAUCAGCGCUAACAGAGGAAUAAGCAGAGGCCUCCAGGAGCAAAGAGUGAAAAGUCUCCCAAGGAUUCAAGUACGGGGGAAGUGGGUGGAGCUUUCACCGUAGAAUCUUUCCUGGAGAAAAAGCAAAGAGUGGGACAACAAUGAAGGCAUUAAAAAUAACUGUCAAGUUGAAGAAAAACACCCUGAGGCCUCCCCAGAAGCCAAGCAGAUGCCGGUGCCAUGCCUGUAUAGCCUACACAACCAUCUGAAGUUUAUCAAUACAUGAUCUCCUCAAAAACGAAAGGAAUAAAACAAGUAUCUGCAAUUUGCUGAGAACUUAAUAUGUGUCAGUUGCCUGCAAAACUCAUCAUUCUUUAGACUUUCAAAUACAUCUGUGAGGACGGUAUUGUUGUUUCCACUUACACAUGAGAAGGCAAGAGACAAGCCCACGGUCACCCAGCUGGUAUUUUGCCAAAGACUAAGGAUUCGGAGAUGACUACGGAAAGGAAAACUAAGCUCCAUGAGAAGAGGGGACUUGCCCAUGUGGCUCAGGGCUCUAUGCCCAGUGCCCUAGACAGUGCCUGACUGUGUGUGCGGAAUGAAUGAAUAACCUUGGUGAUCCACCCAAUGGCACUGGCGCUCAGUGACCUCAUCUGAAAUGGAAUAAGGAUUUUAUGAAAAUGCAUGUUUGUUGAAUAACACAAAGGAGAAUAUUAUCUAAUGUGGCUUGGGGUCAAUAUCAAGCAGUAAUAUUGUUUUAGUAUUAAUUAGAGCCGUGUCAUUGCAAGAGCUGGUAAGAAUACUGGUCUUGUUUCCAACUGAUGAAAACACUCAUACAGAUUAGGGUUUUUAUGAGUAAAUUUCAGAUCUUGAAAUCAGUGCUGUGAUCCACUCUCAUAGG
rnacentral:lncRNA from 1 species